rnacentral:tRNA from 1 species
UGGGGAAUCGUCUAACGGCAGGACAGCGGACUCUGACUCCGUCAAUCAAGGUUCAAAUCCUUGUUCCCCAGCCA